GCAUGACCUCAUUGGGGUAGGACAACCCGCUAGACUUAAGCAUAUUAAUCAGCGGAGGAAAAGAAACUAACCAGGAUUCCCCUAGUAACUGCGAGUGAAGCGGGACCGGCUCAAUGUGUGAAUCUGACUUGGGGUAAACCCGUGUCCGAGUUGUGCACUAUGGACGUUUCGUCUGCGUAUGUAACGGCGGUGGAAGUCCGUUGAAACACGGCACCUCAGAGGGUCACAGUCCUGUACCACCUGCCUGCACUCGCGCCAAUGACAAGCGCUCCUCGAGUCGCGUAGUUUUGUAAUGCUGCGCCAAGUGGGAGGUAGAGACCUUCUAAGGCUAAAUAUGAUGACGUGACCGAUAGCACACAAGUACCGCGAGGGAAAGGUGAAAAGCAACCAUGAAAAAUGGGUUGAAACAGUAGUGAAAGCGCUUCCGGGAUAAGGGCUAUCGGGUGCUGGGGCUCUUUGGGUGUGCUUUAGUGCUACCCUUGGAGACGGCCCGCGCGGGUUGAUGUUGGGGCGAUAGACGCGCCGUUGGAAUUCGGCUGUCUUCGGGCAGUGUUGUAGCCUUCGGUUGCUGAUCCUCCUGCGAC
rnacentral:rRNA from 1 species